AUACGUAGGGUGCGAGCGUUGUCCGGAAUUAUUGGGCGUAAAGAGCUCGUAGGCGGUCUGUCGCGUCUGCUGUGAAAACCCGAGGCUCAACCUCGGGCCUGCAGUGGGUACGGGCAGACUAGAGUGCGGUAGGGGAGAAUGGAAUUCCUGGUGUAGCGGUGGAAUGCGCAGAUAUCAGGAGGAACACCGAUGGCGAAGGCAGUUCUCUGGGCCGUAACUGACGCUGAGGAGCGAAAGCGUGGGGAGCGAACAGGAUUAGAUACCCUGGUAGUCCACGCCGUAAACGUUGGGCGCUAGAUGUGGGGACCAUUCCACGGUUUCCGUGUCGCAGCUAACGCAUUAAGCGCCCCGCCUGGGGAGUACGGCCGCAAGGCUAAAACUCAAAGGAAUUGACGGGGGCCCGCACAAGCGGCGGAGCAUGCGGAUUAAUUCGAUGCAACGCGAAGAACCUUACCAAGGCUUGACAUACACGAGAACGCCCUAGAAAUAGGGAACUCUUUGGACACUCGUGAACAGGUGGUGCAUGGUUGUCGUCAGCUCGUGUCGUGAGAUGUUGGGUUAAGUCCCGCAACGAGCGCAACCCUCGUUCUAUGUUGCCAGCGCGUAAUGGCGGGAACUCAUAGGAGACUGCCGGGGUCAACUCGGAGGAAGGUGGGGAUGACGUCAAAUCAUCAUGCCCCUUAUGUCUUGGGCUUCACGCAUGCUACAAUGGCCGGUACAAAGGGCUGCAAUACCGUAAGGUGGAGCGAAUCCCAAAAAGCCGGUCUCAGUUCGGAUUGAGGUCUGCAACUCGACCUCAUGAAGUCGGAGUCGCUAGUAAUCGCAGAUCAGCAACGCUGCGGUGAAUACGUUCCCGGGCCUUGUACACACCGCCCGUCAAGUCAUGAAAGUCGGUAACACCCGAAGCCGGUGGCCCAACCCUUGUGGAGGGAGCCGUCGAAGGUG
rnacentral:rRNA from 1 species